UCAGCCUAGCCCAGCAUCACCAUGGUGGACGCCUUCCUGGGCACCUGGAAACUAGUGGACAGCAAGAAUUUCGAUGACUACAUGAAGUCAAUCGGGGUGGGUUUUGCUACCAGACAGGUGGCCAACAUGACCAAGCCUACCACAAUCAUCGAAAAGAAUGGGGACACUAUCAUCCUAAAGACACAGAGCACCUUC